GACAGCACGGGCUUGUGGAUUGGGAGCGCUGUCCUCCUCCACCAUGCCAGCCUUUUCUCUUUACAGAGGAGCACGUGUACAUAAGGGUAAAGAGAUUCCUUCUGUCGCACCGGUGUUUGGACCUGAGGAAGGUACCGGGUUUUCUCCAGCUUUUCUACAGUUUUGAUUUUGAGUACAAAACAGCACGAGUGGAUCCUCAGAUUUCUUGGGGAAGGGCUGCGUGACAAACAUUGCUGUGAGCUCUAUGUCUACCAGAGGAUUUUCCGGGUCAUUCUUGCCUUUCUCAGCAGUCCUUUGUGUGACCAGGGCUCCCAGCGUCGUAUUCUGGAG